rnacentral:lncRNA from 1 species
CUUGGAGUAAGUGGGGAAGUGAGGUGUGCUUCGAAGGAAGGAAAACACAAGCAGCAAAUUACAGACACUAGAAGCCCCCUUAAAGAGUCACCUGAGCUGAUUUUGUGAGCCGCUGUGUUUGCCUGACACCAGGUACACACGGAAAUGCUCAGCUGAUUAGGAAAAAAGGCUGGAUCUGACAACUCCACGUGAUGAAGAAACACAUGUCCUGAGGAGGCUGUCCCUGCUUCAGCACAAGAAAGCUCAUUGUGAAACGCCAUGGGGUGAGUGGGAGAACAAAAUUCCAGAACCAUUCACAAAAUGCAGUUGCAUAUUGAUCGCUCCCCAACAGGACUGCACAAGCACUGAGUGCGCGGGUUGCUCAAAGGAGAAAGUAAGCAGAAAAGAUGUGGAACCAAGAAAAGGGCUCAGCUUUGGAAAUGUGAUUCUGCUCUCAAACUAUUUAAUGUCACAUCCAACACCCUAAACUGCACCCAUGGGACAAGUGGGAGUCAGAGCAACUGAGAGAAGAGAGUAUCCCAUCCUGCAUCUUGGGAUUUUAUAACAUCACUUCAUUAUUUUGGCACCUGAGAAGCGUAAGAGGAUGGAAAACAAGAUCAGCCAUGAGAAAAAGAAGCUGAUUUGAUGCCCCUAAAUCAUGAUUUAUACUCAGAGAUGAAAGAUAAAUGUUGGAUCCAGGUGAACAGAGCAGGAAGAAGAUAAGCCAGGAGCUGAUAAAGAAAUGCUUAUCCAGCUCAGCACGAAGACAAGGCCAAGAUGAACAGAGACUUCCGAAGUAAUAGACAACAAAAGCCUAGGCUCAAAUCGUGAAAAAAUUACCUGGUAAUAUUGGCUUGUAUAUGAGUAGCCUGUGUACUAGGAAAAAGGUAUUUGAAAGUGUGAGGCAAUGACCACUAAUUCAUCAGGGCCAUCUGGGCAGGGUUUCAUCAUUUUCAAACUGCCGAUGGCUUAAACCCAAGACAACAUUACUUACC